UCUGCAUGAGCCCUGACCAGGGUCUGGGCCAGGGAGGAGCCUGCAACCAAGGUCCCCCCGUGUCUUACAGGUCACCGUAACCUCACAGAUUGUCAAAAUCAGGAAAUUUCCCUGUGGCAACCCCAUUAGGUAAAUGAUGAGCCCUAUUGGGAUGUCACCGGUUUCAACAUGCACUUGUGGUUGUGUACAUGGUUCCUGGGCAUUUCAGCGGGAGUGCAGAUUUGAGGAAUCAUCAGCAGAUGCAGAACUGUUCCCUCAACACAAACAAAUCCCCGUGUUGGUCCAUAGUGGUCACCCCUCCCCGCCAAUUCCUGGCCACACCUGUCUGGUCUCCACCAUAAUUUUGUCCCUCCGUCACUUAGAGAAUCGCAUAUAAAUGGAAUCACUGUGUGACACCUGGCGACUGGCUCUUGCAAUGCACCCAGGUCACCUGGUGGCUCAGUAAUUUGUGCCUUUUUAUUUGAGUGUUUACCAUGUGCUGCUUCGGACAGCUGGUUUCCCCCAGGUUUUGGCCAUUAAAAACUAAAGCUGUUGUGAAUAUCCAUGUA